rnacentral:rRNA from 1 species
CCAGACUCCUACGGGAGGCAGCAGUGAGGAAUAUUGGUCAAUGGUCGGGAGACUGAACCAGCCAAGCCGCGUGAGGGAUGAAGGUACAGAGUAUCGUAAACCUCUUUUGUCAGGGAGCAAGGUGCAGGUCGGGACCUGCUGUGAGAGUACCUGAAGAAAAAGCAUCGGCUAACUCCGUGCCAGCAGCCGCGGUAAUACGGAGGAUGCGAGCGUUAUCCGGAUUUAUUGGGUUUAAAGGGUGCGCAGGCGGAGGCCAAGAUCAGGGGUAAAAUGGCGGGGCUCACCCCCGCUCCGCCGUUGAAACUGUGUCCCUUGAGUGCGCGAAGGGUAGGCGGAAUGCGUGGUGUAGCGGUGAAAUGCAUAGAUAUUGCGCAGAACUCCGAUUGCGAAGGCAGCAUACCGGCGGCGAUCUGACGCUGAGGCACGAAAGCGUGGGUAUCGAACAGGAUUAGAUACCCCCGUACA